rnacentral:lncRNA from 1 species
GCAGUAUGAUCUCAAGAUGAUCACGGAAUACUAUGGAGAAAGACUCAUUGCCGAAGAAGUAUUCGACUUAUUACCGUACGGAAUGGACGGUUUUCCAGUUCUGCACGCCGACCAGGACUGCAUCAUUCUAUCGAGGCUGCCACCACUAGGAAACAAAACGGAGUGCACGUACUGGGUUCGCAAAAGUGUUGUCAGAAAAUCGCAACUGGCGAUGUGACUUCAUAUUCGACGCCUUCUGCAAGUCACAAAAGAUUGUAGUA